GUAUUGAGUGAUUGUGAGGAUGAUCUAAAGAAGAAAAAACUGACAAUGCAUGAAACUUGGAAAUAGUACCUUUGACAAAAUUCAACAGCCCUUCAUGCUAAAAAUUCUCAGUAAACUAAGUAUUGAUGGGAUGUAUCUCAAAAUAGUAAGAGCUAUUUAUGACAAACCCACAGCCAAUAUCAUACUGAAUGGUCAAAAACUGGAGGCAUUCCCUUUGAAAACUGGCACAAGACAGGGAUGCCCUCUCUCACCACUCCUAUUCAACAUAGUGUUGGAAGUUCUGGCCAGGGCAAUCAGGCAGGAGAAAGAAAUAAAUAGUAUUCAAUUAGGAAAAGAGGAAGUCAAAUUGCCCCUCUUUGCAGAUGACAUGAUUGAAUAUUUAGCAAACCCCAUUGUCUCAGCCCAAAAUCUCCUUAAGCUGAUAAGCAACUUCAGCAAAGUCUCAGGAUACAAAAUCAAUGUGCAAAAAUCACAAACAUUCCUAUACACAAAUAAAAGACAAAUAGAGAGGCAAAUCAUGAGUGAACUCCCAUUCACAAUUGCUUCAAAGAAAAUAAAAUACCUAGGAAUCCAACUUAUAAGGGAUGUGAAGGACCUCUUCAAGGAGAACUACAAACCACUGCUCAACUAAAUAAAAGAGGACACAAACAAAUGGAAGAACA
rnacentral:lncRNA from 1 species